rnacentral:misc_RNA from 1 species
GAUGAAGAACGCAGCGAAAUGCGAUAAGUAGUGUGAAUUGCAGAAUUCAGUGAAUCAUCGAAUCUUUGAACGCACAUUGCGCCCCUUGGUAUUCCAUGGGGCAUGCCUGUUCGAGCGUCAUUUGUACCUUCAAGCUCUGCUUGGUGUUAGGUGUUUGUCUCGCCUCUGCGUGUAGACUCGCCUUAAAACAAUUGGCAGCCGGCGUAUUGAUUUCGGAGCGCAGUACAUCUCGCGCUUUGCACUCAUAACGACGACGUCCAAAAGUACAUUUUUACACUCUUGACCUCGGAUCAGGUAGGGAUACCCGCUGAACUUAAGCAUAUCAAUAAGCGGAGGA